rnacentral:rRNA from 1 species
AUUGAACGCUGGCGGCAGGCCUAACACAUGCAAGUCGAACGGUAACAGGAAGAAGCUUGCUUCUUUGCUGACGAGUGGCGGACGGGUGAGUAAUGUCUGGGAAACUGCCUGAUGGAGGGGGAUAACUACUGGAAACGGUAGCUAAUACCGCAUAAUGUCGCAAGACCAAAGAGGGGGACCUUCGGGCCUCUUGCCAUCGGAUGUGCCCAGAUGGGAUUAGCUAGUAGGUGGGGUAACGGCUCACCUAGGCGACGAUCCCUAGCUGGUCUGAGAGGAUGACCAGCCACACUGGAACUGAGACACGGUCCAGACUCCUACGGGAGGCAGCAGUGGGGAAUAUUGCACAAUGGGCGCAAGCCUGAUGCAGCUAUGCCGCGUGUAUGAAGAAGGCCUUCGGGUUGUAAAGUACUUUCAGCGGGGAGGAAGGGAGUAAAGUUAAUACCUUUGCUCAUUGACGUUACCCGCAGAAGAAGCACCGGCGAACUCCGU